rnacentral:rRNA from 1 species
UACGGAGGGUGCGAGCGUUGUUCGGAAUCACUGGGCGUAAAGCGCGUGUAGGCGGCCUUGUAAGUUUGGUGUGAAAGCCCGGGGCUUACCCCCGGAAGUGCACUGGAGACUGCAAGGCUGGAGUACCGGAGAGGAAAGUGGAAUUCCUGGUGUAGCGGUGAAAUGCGUAGAUAUCAGGAGGAACACCGGUGGCGAAGGCGGCUUUCUGGACGGAUACUGACGCUGAGACGCGAAAGCGUGGGGAGCAAACAGG